rnacentral:rRNA from 1 species
CAAUAGCGUAUAUUAAAGUUGUUGCAGUUAGAACGCUCGUAGUCGGAUUUCGGGGCGUUCCGACCGGUCUGCCGAUGGGUAUGCACUGGCCGGAGUGUCCCUUUUGCCGGAGACCGUGCCUACUCUUAACUGAGCGGGGGCGGGAGACGGCACUUUUACUUUGAAAAAAUCAGAGUGUUUCAAGCAGGCAGCUCGCUCUUGCAUGGAUUAGCAUGGGAUAAUGAAAUAGGACUUUGGUGCUAUUUUGUUGGUUUCGAACACCGAAGUAAUGAUGAGAAGGGACAGUCAGGGGCACUCGUAUUCCGCAGAGAGAGGUGAAAUUCUCAGACCCGCGGAAGACGAACCACUGCGAAAGCAUUUGCCAGGGAUGUUUUCACUGA